ACUCAAAGGAAUUGACGGGGGCCCGCACAAGCGGUGGAGCAUGUGGUUUAAUUCGACGCAACGCGAAGAACCUUACCCAGGCUCGAACGGUCACUGACAUCCUACGAAAGUAGGCUCCCGCAAGGGCAGUGAUCGAGGUGCUGCAUGGCUGUCGUCAGCUCGUGUCGUGAGAUGUUGGGUUAAGUCCCGCAACGAGCGCAACCCUUGUCUUCUGUUGCCAUCGGGUUAUGCCGGGCACUCUGAAGAGACUGCCGGUGACAAACCGGAGGAAGGUGGGGAUGACGUCAAGUCAGCAUGGCCUUUAUGUCUGGGGCCACACACGUGCUACAAUGGCCGGUACAAACCGUCGCGAUACCGCAAGGUGGAGCUAAUCGGAGAAAGCCGGUCUCAGUUCGGAUUGUAGGCUGCAACUCGCCUGCAUGAAGUUGGAAUCGCUAGUAAUCGCGGAUCAGCACGCCGCGGUGAAUACGUUCCCGGGCCUUGUACACACCGCCCGU
rnacentral:rRNA from 1 species